UCCUUCUCCACGGACCUUGGUGUCUCCAUGUUGUUUCCCUGACAUGUUCUCACCUCCUCCUCUUCUCUGACUAGAAGCAAAGACUUGUGACUGUUUUGAUUUUGUUCUUAAAUAUGUCAUCACAGAGGCAUUACCAGCCUCUGUCACUGGCCCAGCCUUGGCCAGCAGCAUGUCCAUCCCCAGAGCCACCAGGGACUGGAUCUGCCGGACAUGGUGGAAGCUUCCAGCAGUUCCUCACAGGAGUCAUCUCUGUGACCUCUGUGCCUCCCAAAAACGGGCUGUGCCACACCAAUACACUUGGCAACGUGGAUUUUCUUUGUAAUGAGUUGUAGGGAUCACUUCUCAGUAUGGAGAGCUCAUAGAAAGUCAUGUACACAUCAAAACGCUGAGGCCAGUGGGAAUGGUGUCAAGCCAAGCUCUACAGCAUGCCAUGGGGAGCUGGAGCUGUGACCUCUGAGACAGGGGAGGUGAUUCUUGCAGUCAGUUUGGGGAAACUGGGAUUUAAGAACCUUUUGGAAUCGUCAACAUCUGUGUCCUCUGUGCAGUCAAGUAGGAUCCCACAGCUGCUUAAUGAAACCCCUAUGAGCCUGCCUGCUCACAACAAAUCCCCAGCACAACAGUCAGCACAGUUACAGUGGAAGAAAUGAGUAACAAAGACAUCUUCAUGGAGAUGGCAGAGAUCACACCGACAGAAAAGAUUCACCUGUGUAUCUCCAGGAGGCAAGGGUGAAUGUCAGAAUGAGAUGUGUUCUGCAGAGAAGAGCUUUUAGGCCCUGAAAAUGCCUGCUUCUUAGAGCAGUCAUUGGAGCAAUGUCAGGAGAACAAGCCAUGAAUAAUCCUGAUCUGGGCCUGAGUCUGAACAUUACUGCUAAAUAGCUGUGACACAAUAAUUAUCACAAUAGACUCAGAUUUAGCCCUUUCCCUGCAAUAAUGUAGAAAUACAUAAAAAUCAAUAAACUAUUCAAAGAAAUUAAAAGGAACUGCCAAAAGAAAAAAAAAAAAUGUUUGUGGCAUUACAUGGUGAUUGCUUAAAUAUAAUAUAGUGGAAUGUCAAAUGUACUCUAUUUGUGGAAAAAGGAAACUUGGAAAAUAACUCCAAACAAGUCUUCAGAGUUAAACACCAGAUGAAGGGGGGAUUACUAGGAGUUAAGAGGCUAAAAUGAACAUCAAAUUCAAAUAGAAAAAGAAUGUAAGUUAAAUGUAAAAUUAAUAAGGUAGGAAAAAAAAGACUUCGGGCAACAAUUUUCUAAAGACAUAAAAAUUAGGAAUAUUGUUAUUUGUCAAACAUAUUAGAAAGCCUGCCAGAAAGACUGUGAGGCCAAUAGAUGGUCAUGGUUUAAUAGCAGUUCUCACAGGGUAAAAAUGCAGAAAAAUUAAACCAAUUCUUCUCAGUGAAUGUCAGCACCAAGAAGACAUUGAAACCAGAGAGCUUUGUUUUACAGGGAUCAGAGUUUGAAACACAACUUUCUCAAAUGAAUGUGUCAAAAGAAUAAGGUUUAGAAGACAUAGAGUGAAUGCAGACAAAUUACCAGAAUCAUGUGCUAUUUAUUAGGGAUCCCUGAGGGAACAUAAAUAUGAAAAUUAAAGCCUUCAGCUAUGCUAUGGAGUCAAUUGAUUAAAUCAGUAGUAGUACUAGAUGAGAAUGAAAUGACAAAUAUAAAUGUAACUUUUAGAAAGGAUUAAAGCAGGAUAGGGAAUUCAGACAAUCUAUAAAUUUGGAGUUGUGUGAACUGUUAGAAGACAUUCUAGGACUAAUAGGGUGAAAACAGUAUAAGGAGGGAGAACUGACACAGCUUUUGGGAGUGCAUUAGUAUUUUUCAAAUUUAUUUUUCAUCAUCACUGAAGACACUGAAAAUAUGAUCAACUGAUCCAGUUGAUAUUCUGCCAAAAAAACCUUUAUUACAAGGUCCUUUGCUGAAUUUUCUGAAAGAAAUUAAGUUGUGACAGGAUGGGGAGAAGGUCCUCUGCAUGUUAAUUACUGUUUAAAAGGAAGGAAAUGUA